GCCCCUCCCACCUCCACACCCAACCCCAGGGAUCCAGACAUAUAUCCCUGGAGGAGUUUAUACAUAGACUGCAGCAGCCAAGAUUGUGACUACUAAAAAGAAAGCUGCUAUGAAAUUUCAUAUACAGGAGAGAGUUGGUGGGGGGAGGACAGAAGAAGAG
rnacentral:lncRNA from 1 species